AGACCCGAAACCCGGUGAUCUAGCCAUGGGCAGGUUGAAGGUUGGGUAACACUAACUGGAGGACCGAACCGACUAAUGUUGAAAAAUUAGCGGAUGACCUGUGGCUGGGGGUGAAAGGCCAAUCAAACCGGGAGAUAGCUGGUUCUCCCCGAAAGCUAUUUAGGUAGCGCCUCGUGAAUUCAUCUCCGGGGGUAGAGCACUGUUUCGGCUAGGGGGCCAUCCCGGCUUACCAACCCGAUGCAAACUGCGAAUACCGGAGAAUGUUAUCACGGGAGACACACGGCGGGUGCUAACGUCCGUCGUGAAGAGGGAAACAACCCAGACCGCCAGCUAAGGUCCCAAAGUCAUGGUUAAGUGGGAAACGAUGUGGGAAGGCCCAGACAGCCAGGAUGUUGGCUUAGAAGCAGCCAUCAUUUAAAGAAAGCGUAAUAGCUCACUGGUCGAGUCGGCCUGCGCGGAAGAUGUAACGGGGCUAAACCAUGCACCGAAGCUGCGGCAGCGACACUUUAGUGUUGUUGGGUAGGGGAGCGUUCUGUAAGCCGUUGAAGGUGUCCUGUGAGGGGUGCUGGAGGUAUCAGAAGUGCGAAUGCUGACAUAAGUAACGAUAAAGCGGGUGAAAAGCCCGCUCGCCGGAAGACCAAGGGUUCCUGUCCAACGUUAAUCGGGGCAGGGUGAGUCGACCCCUAAGGCGAGGCCGAAAGGCGUAGUCGAUGGGAAACGGGUUAAU
rnacentral:rRNA from 1 species